UCUGCCUGUAGAGGCUCUGUGGGUAUAGCUUCCCUGUCACGUGUGUGUCAGUAAGUGGCAGAAAGGAGAGAGGCUAUUCAAUGUUCUGACCUAUGAACAUAGGAUUGAAUAGUAGCCUAACAGA
rnacentral:snoRNA from 1 species